UACGUAGGGGGCAAGCGUUGUCCGGAAUCAUUGGGCGUAAAGCGCGCGUAGGCGGCCCGGUAAGUCCGCUGUAAAAGUCCAGGGCUCAACCCUGGAAAGCCGGUGGAUACUGUCGGGCUAGAGUCCGGAAGAGGCGAGUGGAAUUCCUGGUGUAGCGGUGGAAUGCGCAGAUAUCAGGAGGAACACCGAUGGCGAAGGCAGCUCGCUGGGACGGUACUGACGCUAAGGCGCGAAAGCAUGGGGAGCAAACAGG
rnacentral:rRNA from 1 species